UGGGGAAUAUUGGACAAUGGGCGAAAGCCUGAUCCAGCAAUGCCGCGUGAGUGAUGAAGGCCUUAGGGUUGUAAAGCUCUUUUACCAGGGAUGAUAAUGACAGUACCUGGAGAAUAAGCUCCGGCUAACUCCGUGCCAGCAGCCGCGGUAAUACGGAGGGAGCUAGCGUUGUUCGGAAUUACUGGGCGUAAAGCGUACGUAGGCGGUGACUCAAGUCAGAGGUGAAAGCCUGGAGCUCAACUCCAGAACUGCCUUUGAAACUAGGUCGCUAGAAUCACGGAGAGGUGAGUGGAAUUCCGAGUGUAGAGGUGAAAUUCGUAGAUAUUCGGAAGAACACCAGUGGCGAAGGCGGCUCACUGGACGUGUAUUGACGCUGAGGUACGAAAGCGUGGGGAGCAAACAGGAUUAGAUACCCUCGUAGUCCCUGAGCGGGCUGGCAAGGCGCAU
rnacentral:rRNA from 1 species